rnacentral:lncRNA from 1 species
AAGAACCAAAACGCUAAGAACCCAUCUCUCUCGCGAUGCAACCCUAAGCGCCGUCGACCUCUACCUCUACCGGCGACAAGAUUGAACCACUGCCUUAUCUCAUUCGUCUUCUCUCUCUCUCACUCGCUCGCAGUCAUCCUAAGCGCCGUCGUCCUCUCUCUCACUCGUCAAAUCGAACCCUAACCCCAAAUCGAACUCCAAAUCGAAGCUUUCUCCGGCCUCUACUCUCACGAACGGAACCUUGUCUUUCCCUCUCACAUCGAUUCA